GAGAAAAGCGAGUUCCUGCUCUGCUUCUGGGUGUAGUCGUGUCUCAAGAUGACUCUUACGGCUGCUGCCGCCAUGGUGGGAUCAUCACCCAGAAAGUUCCCUCUUGGCCCUUCUUGCCAACACAGCUGCCAAAGACAACCAUUUUUCUGAUUGUUUUCAAUCUUGCGUCAUGUUUCCUCUUCAGAGUUUUACAUCAAUGAGAUCAUACGAUCUAUGGACACGUCCACACUGAUGAUAGACCCUAAUGUCUUAAGACUACACCCAGGAGAAUAAUAAUGUUUUGGUAUUUCGGAGGCUUCAGGCCUGGCACAGAGCCCAACGCGGGC